UCAUCUCCACCUCCUCCAAAACUUCUGCAGCUUCCUCCAGAGCACAGAAAAGGAAGAGAAAAGCUCCACUGGACACCUCUGUCACGCCACCCAUGGCACCACUCUCAGAAGUCACCACCUCGCCAUGGGGAGCAUGAUCCGCCUGCAAGCUCCCUUCAGGAGUGUAGAUCCAAGGUGCCAUGGGUGUGCUGUGACUUC